UACGGAGGGUCCAAGCGUUAUCCGGAAUCAUUGGGUUUAAAGGGCUCGUAGGCGGUUUUGUAAGUCAGUGGUGAAAGCCCAUCGCUCAACGGUGGAACGGCCAUUGAUACUGCAAGACUUGAAUUAUUAGGAAGUAACUAGAAUAUGUAGUGUAGCGGUGAAAUGCUUAGAGAUUACAUGGAAUACCAAUUGCGAAGGCAGGUUACUACUAAUGGAUUGACGCUGAUGGACGAAAGCGUGGGUAGCGAACAGG
rnacentral:rRNA from 1 species